GAUGAACGCUAGCGGCAGGCCUAACACAUGCAAGUCGAGGGGUAACUAGAGUGAUAGCAAUAUUACUUUGGCUAGACCGGCGCACGGGUGCGUAACACGUAUGCAACCUACCUUAUACUGGGGAAUAACUUCGAGAAAUCGGCGCUAAUACCCCAUAACAUUGCGAAGAGGCAUCUCUUUGCAAUUAAAGCUCCGGCGGUAUAAGAUGGGCAUGCGUCCAAUUAGCUAGUUGGUGAGGUAACGGCUCACCAAGGCUACGAUUGGUAGGGGUUCUGAGAGGAGGAUCCCCCACACUGGUACUGGGACACGGACCAGACUCCUACGGGAGGCAGCAGUGAGGAAUAUUGCGCAAUGGACGAAAGUCUGACGCAGCCAUGCCGCGUGCAGGAUGACGGCCCUAUGGGUUGUAAACUGCUUUUGUACGGGAAUAAACCCUUCUACGUGUAGGAGGCUGAAGGUACCGUAAGAAUAAGCACCGGCUAACUCCGUGCCAGCAGCCGCCGUAACAC
rnacentral:rRNA from 1 species